AACGAACGCUGGCGGCAUGCCUAACACAUGCCAGUCGAACGAGACCUUCGGGUCUAGUGGCGCACGGGUGCGUAACGCGUGGGAACCUGCCCUUAGGUUCGGAAUAACUCCCCGAAAGGGGUGCUAAUACCGGAUAAUGUCUUCGGACCAAAGAUUUAUCGCCUUUGGAUGGGCCCGCGUUGGAUUAGCUAGUUGGUAGGGUAAAAGCCUACCAAGGCGACGAUCCAUAGCUGGUCUGAGAGGAUGAUCAGCCACACUGGGACUGAGACACGGCCCAGACUCCUACGGGAGGCAGCAGUGGGGAAUAUUGGACAAUGGGCGAAAGCCUGAUCCAGCAAUGCCGCGUGAGUGAUGAAGGCCUUAGGGUUGUAAAGCUCUUUUACCCGGGAUGAUAAUGACAGUACCGGGAGAAUAAGCUCCCGCUAACUCCGUG
rnacentral:rRNA from 1 species